rnacentral:lncRNA from 1 species
AGUCUCGGACUUUUCGUUAAAAAAAAAUACUUAACUACUUAAGCAUACACACAACCUUUUCUUUUUAGAAAGUCAUAAUGAACAAGCAGCUCCUCACAAGCAAUACACUUACCCCAUCAUGUAUGACUGAUUCUUUAUGUGUUUCUGAACUGGCAGGUAGUAAAAAAUGCUUCCAUUCCUCCUUAGUGUGGCAUUAAUUUAUGGCUCCUGUUUUUGAACCUACCACAUUUAACAGAGCAGGUCACGUGCCAUUUGUUCACUUUUUAUUUCUGAAUCCUUUAGCAAAAAUUCAACUGAAAAAGAUAUCUUGCUCUUUCAUUUGUAUGUUUAUAAAUAACAAAACUGCAUUUCAAAUGAUCCUUUUUUUUUGGUAGAAUGGAAGUUAGUCUGUUUUUUGUUUUUGGACAUACAUCAUUCAGGUUCUCUCAUAAUUGGAAGCUUUCCUAAAAGAGGGCCAAGAGGUAUGAAGUCUGGACAACACAAAAACCCAGACUACAGUAAAUGUUCAGGUUAGAGAGUUCUGGAUGUCAGGAACUCAGUAGUUCAAUCCCUGAUACAGCUGGAAUAGACCCCAAAGACCAAAGAAAAUGUAUGGGGAAGUCCAGAAGUUCUAACUGAACAUGUCACUCAUUGUGCCCCCCAAAAGUGUAAUUAGUUUUCCAGGAAACUGUAAAAGCACUAUGCUACAUUUGGACUCAUUCCACUCCCAUUGCUACCCCAGGUGAAUAACCCAUCUUUUUGCAGAUUAAAUGCAAAUUUUGCUAUACCAAAGAGUCCUAGGACAUUUUCACAUGAGCUAUAAAGACAUUUUUCCCAAGAACUUCCUCCCUUCUUUGUACAUAAAGGAUGAAAACUAUGCAUCUAGCAAACAAAGAGAAAGCACUUCUCCCUUUUCUAUCUAGUUGUUUAGGGUGCAUUCAAAUGACAGAGGCUGUUUUGAGACACAUUUGGCCUUCUGGAUUAUUAUUGUGGUGUGGUUAGCUUUACAGUACAUUUGGUAACUAUUUCCUAAAUAGUAAGGACAAAGAAGCAGAAGGUAAGAAAUAGCUACUUCCACGUGUUAAAAAAAAGAAAAAAAAAAGAAAAAAAAAGUGUAAAGAUCUACUAUUUAUAGUGUGAACCAAAGACGCUACCUCACUCAAUUUCCAUUGGUGAUUUUAAUCACAUUGAUGAUACCAAAGAAUACCAAAGAUAUUUUCAUGCCGGCCUUGGUCUGCAGAGGGAAUUCCGCCCCCACCCUUCCCCCACCUCCUCUCCCCUCCUCACUCUUCACUCAGUGUGUAAACUUGUCUUCAUUCUUAAUAAUGAUAAGGUAACGGUAACAACAACGUUAGGAAAUACUACUCUUAUUACUGCUAGUUCUUCUUGUAAAUCUCUAGGCAAACAUGUUGCAAACUUUGUAAACUCCUAGGAUGAGUGCCUUGCUUGAACCAAAGUGUUAAACCGCUGUUAACCUCUCUCACCUUAUACUCUUUGAAUACCUCAGCCUCUUAGAAAGGCCACUAAUGAAAAAAAAAAAAAAAAGGAAUAAUUAUUCACCGUGGUGCUUUUUCCGUGCAACCAUGCAAUGAAACUUUCUUUGAUACCAAAGGAUGACUUCCCCCCACCCCCAAUUUCUUGCUGAUAAACCAAAGCUCCUCCUUGUUCCCUCUCGAGGUCCUCUCCUAAAGGGACCCAGGGAAGUGGUCCGUCCGGCACGUAGU